UGAACUAUAGUUAAAAAUAACAUUUAUAUUGCAAAUAAAAAGUGCUAUAAGCUAGUUUAAA
rnacentral:tRNA from 1 species